CACUUCAUCACUGACACACACAACAAUCUUCAUCAACAUGACCUUCAUCAUCAUCUUCAUCUGGACUCUCACAGCGUUUGCUCAAGAGUGUAGAGGACAGAUCACCGUCACUCAGAGUCCCUCAAUAACAGCAGAACAACCAGGAGGAACUGUGAAUAUCAAAUGUAAAACCAGCAGUGAUGUGUACGGUGGAGAUCGUUUAGCCUGGUACUUACAGAAGCCUGGAGAAGCUCCUAAACUCCUGAUUUAUUGGACAAACAACCUUGAGUCAGGAACUCCAUCUAGAUUCAGUGGCAGUGGAUCUAACAGUGAUUUCACUCUGACCAUCAGUGGAGUCCAGACUGAAGAUGCUGGACAUUAUUACUGUCAGAGUUAUCACAGUGGUAAUGUGUUCACACAGUGA